CUAUUUUACCAUUCACUUUUCUGAGCCUUUUGCUUGCAAUUCCAAAACAGCAGAAGCAAGUUGCAGUGGGACACCCUGCCCUUCUGGCUUCAGAAACUUCUGGCUAGGAAUAAUUUCUGUUAGCACUACAGGAGGAACAGGGCCUCCGUGGAGAAGGGACUGAGUCACUUGCUGAUUAGACAAAGCUAUCCACCCACAUUUGGCAAAUGUCUGUGCUGCUUCAUGUGUUUGAAGUGCCUUGUAAACAUGAACGAGUCCCCACAGAACGAGCUGUGUGAUCAUCUCACUUUGGCAGCUGGCAAGGCAGAGGCAGAGGCAGAGGACAAGUUGGAGCUCAGUGGCUUCACAGAGGAGACACAUACCAUUCAUUAUCUUCACCUCGUCUUUUGGAAAACCGGAGGAAAAAUGGCGCACCACAUUGUUCAAGGCCACACAGAGCACAUCCGUGACAUGCAGGACAACAACCAGGCAGCGGGACAUUGGCAGUACUUUUAACGACUAUGGGAACGUGGACCUAGAUGGCCAGUGCAGAAAACCGUGAUCAGGAGAGAGGUGGAGGCUACUUUGUCCUAUCACAAAACAAACAUCACUCAGACGUUCCCGUUUAACAGCUUGUCUUCAUGCAUUAAAACAAGCCUGGAAACCAUGACUGAUAUAAUUUAGAGUAAUUAAUUAGUUGCUGCUCAAUCCUUUAAACAAAUGCGCUAACAAAGCCCUCUGAGCUCCACCGAGAUCAAAAGCCGGCUUGUGCACAAGGCUCACCCUCCCCCUUGGUAGGCAGUCCUUUUGAAAGGAAGUGAUUAUGUGACAAAUUAUUCUUUGGGGGUACAACUGCCGGCUGUGCUGCAUGGCUUUGGUGAGAUCUGAGCCCUUCACCCCUCAUUAGUGAUCCAGAGAAGUCACUGGUUUAGGUUCUCCCUGUUGAGCCUAGGGCAGAUUCUUGCAAUAAAGGCAACAGGAUUUGUUCCAUCUCUAGUCAUACAUAGUAAAAUCAAAUACCCGAUCCAUAUGCAUGACCUCUUGAUUAUGACUCUCAAGGCAUAUCACUCAAUUUUCCCAACGUUUGUCUAAACUCACCAACGCUUUUCCCAUUUGCCACAUCUCAAUUAAAGAGCAACAAAGCAGAAGAAGGAUGAUUUGAGACUAUUUAUUAUCACAAGGAGACCCAAAUGUGCCAUGCAUGCUGACACUACAAAGCAUGUUUUUGGUACUAUUUAAAAACUCAAAACAUUUUCAGUCAGAAACAUCAAUUAUGUCCCUUUAACUCAGCUACCAGUCGAACUGGUAGAAGAAGAAUCGGGGUGUGCACAAUUGUGUAUCUGAUGUUAAGUAACAAAUCCAAGUUAUGUCUGCAAUCCAGAAGAUGACCUAAAAAAUCACUAACACAGUCAAAUAAAUUCAUUUACUACUGGAGCAAGCAACUGCAUUUUGCUACUUUCUUAGUAACUGUCUUGCACUUCCCUUAUGUGUCUGCAGGCAAAAGCAUGUCGCCUCUGAAAUGCUCUCUUUCCAUAUGAGAAAUGGGAAAACAGAGAAGUAGGACAUGCGUGCAUUCAGCUUUCCAAGUUCAGCCACUCAUCACGGUGUUUUCAGCCCUGUGGGCCUUUUCCUUGCUGCCAUUCAAGGAUAUGAAAUCGUGAUUACAGAGUCGGAGUUUGGUCUGCUUGGAGACAGACCUGGUUGUUGUGCUGCCAUGCUGAAAUGAAAGGCUAAACUCCCUUUUGCUGCCAAAGAGUUUUAUGAUGUUUUUUAUUACUCCAGAGCGCUAUUGUUUUUUUUCUGUCUCUCGUUGAAGAGAGAUGAAGUUGGGAACAUU